AUACGGAGGGUGCGAGCGUUAAUCGGAAUUACUGGGCGUAAAGCGUGCGUAGGCGGUUUGUUAAGUCAGAAGUGAAAGCCCUGGGCUCAACCUGGGAACGGCUUUUGAGACUGGCAGACUCGAGUUGAGUAGAGGGGAGUGGAAUUUCCGGUGUAGCGGUGAAAUGCGUAGAGAUCGGAAGGAACACCAGUGGCGAAGGCGACUCCCUGGACUCAAACUGACGCUGAGGUGCGAAAGCGUGGGUAGCAAACGGGAUUAGAAACCCUAGUAGUCC
rnacentral:rRNA from 1 species